AGCAGCCGCGGUAAUUCCAGCUCCAAUAGCGUAUAUUAAAGUUGUUGCAGUUAAAAAGACUCGUAGUUGAAUUUCGAGAUCAAUUUGUUGGUCGUGCCUCGGUACGUACUGGCAAUUUUGAUUUCUCCCUUCUGAAGAACCAUGAUGUCAUUAAUUUGGUGUCAUGGGGAAUCAGGACCGUUACUUUGAAAAAAUUAGAGUGUUUAAAGCAGGCUCGCGCUUGAAUACAUUAGCAUGGAAUAAUGAAAUAGGACGUUUGAUUCUAUUUUGUUGGUUUCUAGGAUCGACGUAAUGAUUAAUAGGGAUAGUUGGGGGCAUUAGUAUUCAAUUGUCAGAGGUGAAAAUUCUUGGAUUUAUUGAAGACUAACUACUGCGAAAGCAUUUGCCAAGGAUGUUUUCAUUAAUCAAGAACGAAAGUUAGGGGAUCGAAGACGAUCAGAUACCGUCGUAGUCUUAACCAUAAACUAUGCCGACUAGGGAUCGGAUGAUGUUAAUUUUUAAUGACUCAUUCGGCGCC
rnacentral:rRNA from 1 species